ACCCACUGAGCCCAGCCCCAUCUGUAUAUUUUUUAAAAGUUUUCAGGUAACAAUAUCAGUCAGCCAGGAUUGAGAAUUAUUUUGUUUUCCAGGAGUAAUUGAUUUCUUAGAAGUAGCCAACUCACCCCCUCACCCAUCUCAACAAACCCCAGAGGGUCUUAGGGUAUGAUUUGAUACCUUUAAAUUGAAAUGUUGCUGUGGGUCAUGCCUUUGCCACCUGAUGAGCCUGCUUGGAAAUUAUUGUACCUGCCAUUUUUAUUUCCACAAAUUAACACUAGAUGGCAAACUACACACGGGGAAUCAUUAAGCAUUUCCAUUUCUGAAACACUUUAUUUUUCCUUCGAAUAACCUCUUUAGCCAAUAUUUGAGUUUAAUAAUAUAGUAUUAAAACCAAGGGAAUUCUUCAUCAAUUGAAUUAUUCCGGCUCGUGGGUUAACUCACAUUCCCUUCAGCAGAGCCAUAGGCGCCCUGUAUACACUAUGGCCUGGAUUCCAGUUGUCUUAAAGGCUCAGCUGUUAAAAAAUGUUUAUUAAUCAUAACAUAGAAAAUAAAAUACUUCUUUUUUAUCACACCUGCGAACACUUUUCCACCAAUAGGUGUCAAUACUCCUUGUUAAACAAUGGACUCACUAAUAAAAACGUUUACCUGCCUACCUUUUUGGGGAGCUUGUAUCUCCAGGGAUACAGGCAGGGGGCGCUUAUGUACUACUAUAUGCCCACUUUCCUGUUCCUUCUCAGAAACGGCUUGGGUGAUGAAGUAAUGGAGGUGGGGUAUGUGAGAAACAGUAUGAGAGAAGUAUACAUUACUAUGUUGAGGAACAAUGUAAUAACAUUGUCAUUGAUUUAGUCCCUCAUAACUGGUAAAAAACCUUCAUAUCCCUGACCUCAGAGUGGCAGCAGCUCAUCCAGCUACCUCAGAGUUGGCAACAUCACUCAUCUGCCUUACACAUACAGACCCUAUAUUCCUGCCUCAAUACCACACAGAGAGACUGUCUGAUUUAGCUGAGAAGUGGUCACGUGUUACGGCCAGGCCAGCUUCCUUUCUGGAAAAGCUGAGACAUACAGACAGAAAGACCUGAUAUUUUCAAGGAGACAACUGGGCAAAGUGGACAUAAGCCAGAUAUGUGUCCAGGGUACAGCUGAAAGGAGAUCACAGAACUUUGCCUAAGUAUAUUUGUAAUUAAAACCUGAAAUUUUGCAAACAUGUUAAAUGUCUCCUCCUAACUUUAGUAUCACUAGGGACUUGGGGAGGUAUGUUUUGAAGGUGGCUUAGCAGGGGUAUAGUUGUUUAGGCGCCUGAUAGGACUCUGCAGGAGCUGACAGCUGUUGACCAGUAAGGUGAAAAUGCACCAAUAUCGGGUCAAUUGUCAGACUUUUCUCUUUCUGGCAAGUACCAGGUGGAAAGUAUGUUCUACACAUUAUUUUUAAAAAUGUUUAAACCAGUAUGUUUAUAUCUGCCUUCCCUCAGAAGGACACUCAAUUUUCCUUUGUAAAAUAACUUUUAUGAACCCACUGUUACUUUGUCUUUUUUUUAAUUGGGUCAAAAAAAGAAUAAAUGGCAAUGAAAUAGGCAUUUCUGUAUUUUUCUUUAAGAAUGGAAACCCAUCUUCAGGUUACUGCUGAAGGAAAUAUAAUUAAACCUUUGACUUUACAUCAUCAAAGAAGCAUCUCAAGAAAUUUUCCUUUCAAACAUUUAUUUGUUGAAGUCAUUUUGUUUAUAUCCCAACUCGAGAUAACUCAGUUAAAAUGUACUUAGGAACAAAAUCCUGAGUGAUAUUAACAUAUUUGAGGGCAUUACACCAGUAACAUGCCAGCAAGAGAAUAUCUUUUCAUUUGAAAGAAGCUUAGCAGGUGCCAAAGAAGAAUAAAAAAUUAAUUGCAUCAAAAUGACAUUUGUUUUAAGGGGAUCAUUAUGUCACUAUCUGAUUUUAUUUGGAUCAUAUUUGUCAAUCUAAACAUUUAUGAUGUGGCUGAAAAAAUUGAGAAAUAAAAAAGUCCAGAACAUUUACAUAUUUUUAGUUU